GAUGAACGCUGGCGGCGUGCCUAACACAUGCAAGUCGAGCGAGGGUUUGCUCAGUAUUGAGUAUUCUAAAACUAGAAUGUUCAAUUCUGAGCAAAACCAAGCGGCGGACGGGUGAGUAACGCGUGGGUAACCUGCCCUAUACACAUGGAUAACAUACUGAAAAGUUUACUAAUACAUGAUGAUAUAUAUUUGCGGCAUCGCAGAUAUAUCAAAGUGUUAGCGGUAUAGGAUGGACCCGCGUCUGAUUAGCUAGUUGGUGAGAUAACUGCCCACCAAGGCGACGAUCAGUAGCCGACCUGAGAGGGUGAUCGGCCACAUUGGAACUGAGACACGGUCCAAACUCCUACGGGAGGCAGCAGUGGGGAAUAUUGCACAAUGGGCGAAAGCCUGAUGCAGCAACGCCGCGUGAACGAUGAAGGUCUUCGGAUCGUAAAGUUCUGUUGCAGGGGAAGAUAAUGACGGUACCCUGUGAGGAAGCCCCGGCUAACUACGUGCCAGCAGCCGCGGUAAUACGUAGGGGGCUAGCGUUAUCCGGAUUUACUGGGCGUAAAGGGUGCGUAGGUGGUCCUUCAAGUCGGUGGUUAAAGGCUACGGCUCAACCGUAGUAAGCCGCCGAAACUGGAGGACUUGAGUGCAGGAGAGGAAAGUGGAAUUCCCAGUGUAGCGGUGAAAUGCGUAGAUAUUGGGAGGAACACCAGUAGCGAAGGCGGCUUUCUGGACUGCAACUGACACUGAGGCACGAAAGCGUGGGUAGCAAACAGG
rnacentral:rRNA from 1 species